UACGGAGGGGGCUAGCGUUGUUCGGAAUUACUGGGCGUAAGGCGCACGUAGGCGGCUUUGUAAGUUAGAGGUGAAAGCCCGGGGCUCAACUCCGGAAUUGCCUUUAAGACUGCAUCGCUUGAACGUCGGAGAGGUGAGUGGAAUUCCGAGUGUAGAGGUGAAAUUCGUAGAUAUUCGGAAGAACACCAGUGGCGAAGGCGGCUCACUGGACGACUGUUGACGCUGAGGUGCGAAAGCGUGGGGAGCAAACAGG
rnacentral:rRNA from 1 species